UUUCACUUCUCAGAAGUUCGGUGUUGCGCUGUUUUCUAUUAGUUGUUUUUAUAGAAUCGUCGAAAAUUCAAUGUAAAGGUAAAUCGCGAGAAGUUCUUGUCGGCGUCAUUAAAAUUAUAUUCGAGGCGUAAGUUAACCAUAAUCUUUCUCGGAAGUGUGUUAUAUCUCGGCGCUGAAUAUCGGAGCAUUUUCGAAACAAGUACAUUUCGCUUUAUUGUCGUGUUCGGUUGCGCAUAUUUUGUGUCUUCGCUAAAUAUCAGUAGAACAUUUAACCGAACCAUCAGAAAUCGAAUAAUACAUUGUGUCGCGAGUGUUAAACCUGAAUUUUUAAAGAGGAUUUUCACGAGAAAUUUCGGAGAAAAGAAGAAAGACAGGAAAAGUCAUCCUACAUCAUUGAGCAGUACAUCGUUAAAUCAAGAAAUCUCUGCAUUAUAUUAAGAAAGACCUGCGGUUGGGAAUAACGGGAGGAACGAUGAAUCGUCUGGCACGUCACUAUCGAGUAGAGAGGAGGACGUUGAGUAAUCCAGGGACACUUGAGAAACCCGAUAACGGAUGGUUAUCGGCGUGCAGUGCUGCUAGGAGCGCGGGAAAAUGAUGGCAACAAUUAUGCGAAAUAUCGUCUUUAAAUCUUAUAUUAUCCCGCGAGACUGGGAGAGAUUCUUGCAUAAUCCGCACGAUAUUGUGAUAAAUAGAGUUUCAAUUCAAUUCAGCGUGACUGUCUUGUACUGUCCUGUCGGCACACAGUGCCAAUAAAAGAGAUUUAGAUGAAUGAAAAAUAAUUUUCAUACAAAGUGCGACGUAAGUCAUAUUUGGAGUGUCGAGAGUGCCGCGGCGUGAUAGUUUAAGAGAUAAAUAACUUGAUAUACCACCAGUUCUAAUCCCGUAGGAUAUGUAAACGCAUAUUUAUGUGCGCCAUAAUCUUCAUUACAUAUUCGCUGUUUUAAUUUAAAGUUACGCGUGUGUGUGUGUGCGUGUGUGUCGUGCGAGCGCGAGCGCGAGCGGGUUAACGAGCGCGUGUCGCGUUUUGCAAUUCGAGCGAACCCCGAACAAAACCAGAUUCGCAUUAUGUGGCGCGGUAUUACGAUUAGAGCCGCGUGUGCAGCACGCUCGAUUGCAUAAUCCGCUCGUAAAUAAGCGGGCGCGAGCGCGUAUGCUCAUUUGUUCGCCCGCUCGUAUGAAAGAAUGUAUGCGGUGUCACCUGUCGGCGGACCAAUCGCGUCGUGAG
rnacentral:lncRNA from 1 species